rnacentral:rRNA from 1 species
AGCGAACGCUGGCGGCAGGCCUAACACAUGCAAGUCGAACGAACCUUUCGGGGUUAGUGGCGGACGGGUGAGUAACACGUGGGAACGUGCCUUUAGGUUCGGAAUAACUCAGGGAAACUUGUGCUAAUACCGAAUGUGCCCUUCGGGGGAAAGAUUUAUCGCCUUUAGAGCGGCCCGCGUCUGAUUAGCUAGUUGGUUGAGGUAAUGGCUCACCAAGGCGACGAUCAGUAGCUGGUCUGAGAGGAUGAUCAGCCACAUUGGGACUGAGACACGGCCCAAACUCCUACGGGAGGCAGCAGUGGGGAAUCUUGCGCAAUGGGCGAAAGCCUGACGCAGCCAUGCCGCGUGAAUGAUGAAGGCCUUAGGAUUGUAAAAUUCUUUCACCGGGGACGAUAAUGACGGUACCCGGAGAAGAAGCCCCGGCUAACUUCGUG